rnacentral:misc_RNA from 1 species
UAGUGAACACACGAGCACCUCGAGCAUGGCGUCUAUGAGCAUGAAGGCGGGAUUGGCGCGCAACCACGAGCUUUUAGAUGUUCUCCUGCAGCGGUGCGCGCAUGACGAGUCGCCGCGGCGACUUGUAUCAGCGCCUAGCUGCACUACAGGACGCACAGAGGCGACAUCUCGAGAAGAUGACGGCCCACGCGCGAGAUGCACAUUCUCCCGUAGCAGAGCGCAUUCAACUUUUACAGUACGAGGAGACUGAAGCUGUGAGGUGCCGCAAAACUGUGAAGCAAGCGUAUGGACCGCAGGAUAUGGCGGGGCUCACGUGUGCAGAGCAGCGCCUUCGCGACACCCUGCGGCAAACGCAACGCAUGAACAUAACAUUACAGGCAGCUAUGGAAGAAACCUCGGCUCAGUGUGAGUGUCUCCAGCAGUGCGUGCGAACAAGGGCAGCACGCAGCAGUUUAGCGGCGACGUUUCUGACGCCUGUCUCCGCUGCGACGGCGACGGGGCACCCGUCCGAGGUUCCUCAGAGCUCUCCCUGCCAAGACGCCUCGCCGUGCCACGAAUGGGUGGAGCUUGCGCGACACAGUGCCUCCUUCUACGCAAAGGCGUUCUCCGACGUGCAUGAGGUAAUGGGGGGGGGGCUACGCGGGGCUGCAGAAAGACAUUCAGAGACAACUGCAAAACCCUGCGGCGUACAGCGACCCCGCUGCUGUAAUCGUCGCCUUGACAGCUUUGGCAAAAGCGAGCGACAAACUCCUGCUUUCCUAUGGUCGGGUGCGUGAAGAGCAGCAUGCGCACCAUCUCGCGUUGCUUCGCACCUUUGAUCUGCUCUUCGGAGAGCCGGCGUAGACUCUUAGACGGGAGCUUACCGCUUUCAU